AGCUGAUGACGACAAUCUAAAAUAUACUUUUCUGACACCUACUAUGAGAGCUGAACUCCAGCUCCUGAUUCUAACUUGACUCUGAGGCUC
rnacentral:snoRNA from 1 species